GGAGCUGAGACCAGUCGAAGAUACCAGCUGGCUGCAACUGUUUAUUAAAAACACAGCACUGUGCAAACACGAAAGUGGACGUAUACGGUGUGACGCCUGCCCGGUGCCGGAAGGUUAAUUGAUGGGGUUAUCCGUAAGGAGAAGCUCUUGAUCGAAGCCCCGGUAAACGGCGGCCGUAACUAUAACGGUCCUAAGGUAGCGAAAUUCCUUGUCGGGUAAGUUCCGACCUGCACGAAUGGCGUAAUGAUGGCCAGGCUGUCUCCACCCGAGACUCAGUGAAAUUGAACUCGCUGUGAAGAUGCAGUGUACCCGCGGCAAGACGGAAAGACCCCGUGAACCUUUACUAUAGCUUGACACUGAACAUUGAGCCUUGAUGUGUAGGAUAGGUGGGAGGCUUUGAAGCGUGGACGCCAGUCUGCGUGGAGCCAACCUUGAAAUACCACCCUUUAAUGUUUGAUGUUCUAACGUAGGCCCCUGACCGGGGUUGCGGACAGUGUCUGGUGGGUAGUUUGACUGGGGCGGUCUCCUCCCAAAGAGUAACGGAGGAGCACGAAGGUUAGCUAAUCCUGGUCGGACAUCAGGAGGUUAGUGCAAUGGCAUAAGCUAGCUUGACUGCGAGCGUGACGGCGCGAGCAGGUGCGAAAGCAGGUCAUAGUGAUCCGGUGGUUCUGAAUGGAAGGGCCAUCGCUCAACGGAUAAAAGGUACUCCGGGGAUAACAGGCUGAUACCGCCCAAGAGUUCAUAUCGACGGCGGUGUUUGGCACCUCGAUGUCGGCUCAUCACAUCCUGGGGCUGAAGUAGGUCCCAAGGGUAUGGCUGUUCGCCAUUUAAAGUGGUACGCGAGCUGGGUUUAGAACGUCGUGAGACAGUUCGGUCCCUAUCUGCCGUGGGCGCUGGAGAAUUGAGGGGGGCUGCUCCUAGUACGAGAGGACCGGAGUGGACGCAUCACUGGUGUUCGGGUUGUCAUGCCAAUGGCACUGCCCGGUAGCUAAAUGCGGAAGAGAUAAGUGCUGAAAGCAUCUAAGCACGAAACUUGCCCCGAGAUGAGUUCUCCCUGAGACUUUAAGUCUCCUGAAGGAACGUUGAAGACGACGACGUUGAUAGGCCGGGUGUGUAAGCGCAGCGAUGCGUUGAGCUAACCGGUACUAAUGAACCGUGAGGCUUAACCUU
rnacentral:rRNA from 2 species